rnacentral:rRNA from 1 species
UACGUAGGGUGCAAGCGUUGUCCGGAAUUAUUGGGCGUAAAGAGCUCGUAGGCGGUUUGUCGCGUCUGCCGUGAAAGUCCGGGGCUCAACUCCGGAUCUGCGGUGGGUACGGGCAGACUAGAGUGAUGUAGGGGAGACUGGAAUUCCUGGUGUAGCGGUGAAAUGCGCAGAUAUCAGGAGGAACACCGAUGGCGAGGGCAGGUCUCUGGGCAUUAACUGACGCUGAGGAGCGAAAGCAUGGGGAGCGAACAGG